GCGCCGGUAGCUCAGUUGGUAGAGCAGGUGACUCUUAAUCACUUGGUCGGGGGUUCGAAUCCUCCCCGGCGUA
rnacentral:tRNA from 1 species